rnacentral:rRNA from 1 species
CCUACGGGUGGCAGCAGUGGGGAAUAUUGGACAAUGGGGGGAACCCUGAUCCAGCGACGCCGCGUGAGUGAAGAAGUAUUUCGGUAUGUAAAGCUCUAUCAGCAGGGAAGAAAGACAUGACGGUUCCUGACUCAGACGCCCCGGCUAACUACGUGCCAGCAGCCGCGGUACUACGUAGGGGGCAAGCGUUAGCCGGAUUUACUGGGUGUAAAGGGAGCGUAGACGGCGAUGCAAGUCUGAAGUGAAAGGCGGGGGCCCAACCUCCGGACUGCUUUGGAAACUGUAUGGCUGGAGUGCAGGAGAGGUAAGUGGAAUUCCUAGUGUAGCGGUGAAAUGCGUAGAUAUUAGGAGGAACACCAGUGGCGAAGGCGGCUUACUGGACUGUAACUGACGUUGAGGCUCGAAAGCGUGGGGAGCAAACAGGAUUAGAUACCCUGGUAGUC